UACGAAGGGGGCUAGCGUUGCUCGGAAUGACUGGGCGUAAAGGGCGCGUAGGCGGUUUGUACAGUCAGAUGUGAAAUUCCCGGGCUCAACCUGGGGGCUGCAUUUGAUACGUGCGGACUUGAGUGGGGAAGAGGGUCGUGGAAUUCCCAGCGUAGAGGUGAAAUUCGUAGAUAUUGGGAAGAACACCGGUGGCGAAGGCGGCGACCUGGUCCUUGACUGACGCUGAGGCGCGAAAGCGUGGGGAGCAAACAGG
rnacentral:rRNA from 1 species